rnacentral:rRNA from 1 species
UACGAAGGGGGCUAGCGUUAUCCGGAAUUACUGGGCGUAAAGGGUGCGUAGGCGGUUCGUUAAGUCUGUCGUGAAAUCCCCGGGCUCAACCUGGGAAUGGCGAUGGAUACUGGCGAGCUAGAGUGUGUCAGAGGAUGGUGGAAUUCCCGGUGUAGCGGUGAAAUGCGUAGAGAUCGGGAGGAACAUCAGUGGCGAAGGCGGCCAUCUGGGACAACACUGACGCUGAAGCACGAAAGCGUGGGGAGCAAACAGG